rnacentral:rRNA from 1 species
CCUACGGGAGGCUGCAGUGAGGAAUAUUGGUCAAUGGACGAGAGUCUGAACCAGCCAAGUAGCGUGAAGGAUGACUGCCCUAUGGGUUGUAAACUUCUUUUAUAAAGGAAUAAAACGAGGCACGUGUGCCUUUUUGCAUGUACUUUAUGAAUAAGGAUCGGCUAACUCCGUGCCAGCAGCCGCGGUAAUACGGAGGAUCCGAGCGUUAUCCGGAUUUCUUGGGUUUAAAGGGAGCGUAGAUGGGUUGUUAAGUCAGUUGUGAAAGUUUGCGGCUCAACCGUAAAAUUGCAAUUGAUACUGGCAGUCUUGAGUACAGUUGAGGUAGGCGGAAUUCGUGGUGUAGCGGUGAAAUGCUUAGAUAUCACGAAGAACCCCGAUUGCGAAGGCAGCUUACUAAACUGUGACUGACAUUGAUGCUCGAAAGUGUGGGUAUCAAACAGGAUUAGAUACCCCUGUAGUC